CCCCCCCCCCGUGGCGGUAUGGGAGAGCCCAGGGGCGGGCACUGCACUUGGCCUUGGCCCCGCCUCUCCGGUCCCCGGUGUCGGUUGGCGGGAGCGGAGCCCCUCACGCUCCCAAAAGUGUGCCAAGUGAUUUAGGGAAAAAUUAGAAAGCUAUGGCCUGAAUUUGGCCUGAAGUGUGAGCCUGCUACAAAAUGUGCAAUACAGAUAAGACCAGGAAUUCCUGGAUGGUGGAACAAUCAAAUAUUCCAUUCAUCGCCCUGUUGCUGAUGGCUGUACUCUCUUGUUUGCCUUUCUUUUUCUUUUAUUUAAUUUUCAUUCUGAAGACAAAUGGCUGCUUCCUACAGAUACAUUAAUGUGCUUUGUUUUCUGUGUUUCCCUGAUUUGAUUUUCUGAAGGGACUCAUCUUUAAUCAGUCACAGGUAAAAAAUUUUCAUGAGCUUGAAUGACAUUUCAGGACAGAAGCUCCUAUUGGUGAAAUCUCUUGAAUUUGGGAUAUUACAGUAGAUCAAAAGAAGAAAUUCUGUCUCUUCUCUUUUUGUUAUGGCAGCACACAUUGCUACAAGGACCACAUAUUUCUGCAAGACCAAAGAGCAAUUUGGUGACUAAGAGCUAAAAUAUAGUCUCCAAAUCAUGUUCCUAAUUUUAACUGUCAGUGUCAGGUGCCUGUUUUCACAGUGUGCACCAUGGCAGAGGCUGGAGUUUGGACUUCCAUACCACUUCAUUUCCUACCCAAUUUUGAUUUUAGUUUUUAAAUAGCUCUCUAUAUUUUUGAGUCAACUUGAGCCCAACCACUGCUCAAACCUGUUUGGCUGUCCAAUGCUGUCAUGAGCCUGUACGGAAAAGUGUAUCUCCUCUAAUCAAGAAGAGUAUCUUAUCUAUAGGAACAGAAGAUUAAUUUAGCAGCUUUUUCUGAUCUGGUUUUCAUUCUUUCCCAUGCACUGUUAAUAUUUUUAAGUAAACACCAAAGCCUUAGUGUGGGGAGGGUUAUUUUGCCCAUAAUUUUCCAACCAUUUUUUUCCUGCUGGUAAUUGCCCAUAAAAUCAGAUCUGUCAUUCUAUUCUCAAUAAUUUUUUGGUAUUUCAGUAACAUUGAAUUUUCAUGGUACGUAACAGGAUCCUUUUGCUGAGAACUGUCAAUAAAAAAAGUCACCUGGUUUUCAA